rnacentral:rRNA from 1 species
AGAGUUUGAUCCUGGCUCAGAACGAACGCUGGCGGCGUGGAUAAGACAUGCAAGUCGAACGGAACAUCAUGAGUAGCAAUACAAGUGAUGUUUAGUGGCGAACGGGUGCGUAACACGUGGAUACAUUCCGGGAAGCGGGGGAUAGCCCAGGGAAACUUGGAUUAAUACCGCAUGUGAUCGAGAGAUCAAAGACGGGGACCGCAAGGCCUGUCACUUCCCGAUUGGUCCGCGGCCUAUCAGCUAGUUGGCGGGGUAAAAGCCCACCAAGGCUACGACGGGUAGCUGGUCUUAGAGGACGACCAGCCACACUGGAACUGAGACACGGUCCAGACACCUACGGGUGGCAGCAGUCGAGAAUCUUUCACAAUGGGGGCAACCCUGAUGGAGCGACGCCGUGUGGAGGAUAAGGUCUUCGGAUUGUAAACUGCUGUCAUGUGAGAACAAGGCUGUCGGGUUAAUAACCUUGCAGAUUGAUGGUACCACAAGAGGAAGAGGCGGUUAACUCUGUGCCAGCAGGCGUGGUAAUACAGAGGUCUUAAGCGUUGUUCGGAAUCACUGGGCGUAAAGGGU